ensembl:lncRNA LINC02732 long intergenic non-protein coding RNA 2732
GAAGGCGUGUGCCUCCUCAUGGAACACAGGGUCGGAGUCGGCUAGGAGGGAUAAGAGUACAAUAGAGGGUUGUGUGACACAGACAGGCUGCCAGCCCUCAGCAUGGACCCGGCACAUGGAAUCUGUGAUCUUAAAAGAGUCAAGUGACUACCUUUGGCAACCAAAAGAGACACUGCCUUUUAGAAGGCAUAUCAUCUGAAACUGGCUGAAAGAGCUGUCUUACUUAGGAAGAAAAAUCUCUCCUUUGGAAAGAGCUGGAACUUUUAGUAAAACUGAACAGUGAGGUGGCGGAAGAUAAAUAUGCUGAGGCAUGUUUUCAAGGAGGGGAGAGAGAUUCCUUUUCCUCAGCCGGGCACAGAGCCAACCUGAAGUGUAGCACUGUGGUGACCUGGCGGGAUCUGCUCUCCAGUCACUCCCGAGGGCCCUUCUGGGGACAAGGAGACUUUUCUGUGCGGCCUGUUGAUUUGAGUAGGAUCGAGGCUAUCAAGCUACAGAUGAUCUUACAAAUGGAACCCCAAAUGAGCUCAACUAACAACUACCAAGGACCCCUGGACCAACCCGCUGGCCCUUUCAAUGGCCUAAAGAGUUCCCCUCUGGAGGACACUACAACUGCAGGGUCCUUUCUUUGCCCCUAUCCAGCAGGAAGUAGCUAGAGUGGUCAUCACCCAAUUCCCAACAGCAGUUGGGGUGUCUUGUUAAGUGGGGAGAUUGAGAGGUGAAGCCAGCUGGGCUUCUGGGUUGGGUGGGGACUUGGAGAACUUUUCUGUCUAGCUAGAGGAUUGUAAACACACCAAUCAGUGCUAUGUGUCUAGCUAGAGGUUUGUAAAUGCACCAAUCAGCACUCUGUAAAAACGGACCAAUCAGCACUCUGUAAAAUGGACCAAUCAGUAGGAUGCGGGCAGGGCCAAAUAAGGGAAUAAAAGCUGGCCACCUGAGUCAGCAGUGGCAACCCACUCGGGUCCCCUUCCAUGCUGUGGAAGCUUUGUUCUUUCACUCUUCACAAUAAAUCUUGCUGCUGCUCACUCUUUGGGUCCACACCACCUUUAUGAGCUGCAACACUCACUGCGAAGGUCUUCAGCUUCACUCCUGAAGUCAGCGAGACCACGAACCCAUGGGGAGGAACAAUCGACUUCAGACAUGCCACCUUUAAGAGCUGUAACACUCACUGCGAAGGUCUGUGGCUUCACUCCUGAAGUCAGCAAGACCACGAACCCACUGGAAGGAAGAAAUUUCGGACACAUCUGAACAUCUGAAUGAACAAACUCUGGACACGCCAUCUUUAAGAACUGUAACACUCACUGUGAGGGUUCAUGGGUUCAUUCUUGAAGUCAGCAAGACCAAGAACCCACCAGAAGGAACCAAUUCCGGACACAGACUCACUGCAACCUCCACCUCCUGGAUUCAAGUGAUUCUCCUGCCUCAGCCUCCGGAGUAGCUGUGCCUACAGGCACAAGCCACCACACACGGCUAAUUUUUUGUAUUUUUAGUAGAGAUGGGGUUUCACCAUGUUGCUCAGGCUGGUCUCCAACUCCUGAGCUCAAGUGAUCCACCUGUCUCGGCCUCCCAAAGUGUUGGGAUACAUGUGUGAGCCACUGUGCCCGGCCUCCUCUGGAUUAGUUCUUACAGGAAUAGAUUAGUUCUUGCUCGAGCAAGUUGUUAUAAAAGUGAGGUUGCCUCUAGUGUUUUGCAUCCUCACAUAUGUCUGCUUACCUCUUGACCUCUCUCUGUGUUAUGACCCAGCACAAAAGCCCUUACCAGAAGCCAAGCAGAUGCUGAUGCCACACCCCUUGGACUUCUCAGUCUACAGAGCCAUGAAACGAAUAAACCUCUCUUUAUAA